rnacentral:lncRNA from 1 species
CCAACGUCAGGCACCCAGAAAAGCUCCAGGCAGAAGUCACGAAUUUCACAGCCCACUGGGACCAAAGAGGUGAUUUAAGAGAGGAAAGUGGGCAGGGUGGAAGACAGCAUGAAGAGGUGGGAACCCAAGAGAAUGCAGGCCCCCCUGAAAUACAGUGCUGUGAUGGAGUGGACUUCAGAGGGCCGAUUAUACACAUCUCUUCCCAAAGCUCUUUUCGGUGUCCUCAUCUUGGUAUCACCAGAUGCUGAGCCUAUGGAAUUAAAAUAGAGGUCUCCUAAAAAAGAAGAAGAAUCAGACUGGCAUCAGAUGAUCCAGAAAAAAUGGAGGGAGAAGACAACAGAGCAAGACCUUCAAAGUUAUGAAAGGACUACUAUAUCCAGUCAAACUGUCAAUUAAAUAAGAAAACAAAAAUAACCUAUUUUGAGACAUGUGAAAACUGCAGAGGUUUACCUCUCAUGCAGCCCUUUCCAUAAAUUUUUUUGAGGAUAUACUCCAGUAAAAUAAAGAGGAAGAUGUAGAUUGUACAAAAUCAUAGAUCUACCAUAACUCAGAAAAGAUGCCUCUGAUCACCCAUUCUAGGUCAAUUCUGACCUUUCUUUAUUACACCACCUUGGUCAUUUCCUUCUUAGGCUUAUAAAAAUCUAUAUUUAUUUCCUGUAAGUUUAUUUAAAAUGUAUUUCUUAACUUGCUUAUUCUUGGCCUCACCCAUUAGAAGGUAAGCUCCAUAAAAGGUGACUAUGCUGUAUCAAGGAAUCUUGUAUAGUGUCUGGUAUUUAGGUAACAGACAAUAAAUAUUAAAGAAUGAAUAGCAUAUCUCUAUUUUUUAACUUGAGUUAAACCAAACUCCAUAGGUGAGACUUCUAAGAGCCUUUAAAAUGCUUUUUGAAUUUUCAUAAUGGAGGCAUAGUAAGAAUUAUAGCCUAAACAUAGAAUCCUGGUAGCAUCUUAGAUGGUGGUUAAUGCUUUGUGUAACACACUCUGGCACUUUUAAAAUUGUAAAUCAGUUUAAUUUUUAUCACAAAUGUCCAACACUUUUCUCUUAUGAAGAAGUAAGAGUCAUAAAUCAAUUGAGAGAUUUCUCCCA